rfam:Triticum aestivum genome assembly, contig: Triticum_aestivum_CS42_TGACv1_scaffold_688599_T
GGAUGCGAUCAUACCAGCACUAAAGCACCGGAUCCCAUCAGAACUCCGAAGUUAAGCGUGCUUGGGCGAGAGUAGUACUAGGAUGGGUGACCUCCUGGUAAGUCCUCGUGUUGCAUUCC